rnacentral:rRNA from 1 species
GACGAACGCUGGCGGCGUGCUUAACACAUGCAAGUCGAACGGAAAGGCCCCUUCGGGGGUACUCGAGUGGCGAACGGGUGAGUAACACGUGAGUAACCUGCCCUUGACUUCGGGAUAACUUCAGGAAACUGGGGCUAAUACCGGAUAGGAAUCCUUGCUGCAUGGUGGGGGUUGGAAAGCUUCGGCGGUUUUGGAUGGACUCGCGGCUUAUCAGCUUGUUGGUGGGGUAGUGGCUUACCAAGGCUUUGACGGGUAGCCGGCCUGAGAGGGCGACCGGCCACAUUGGGACUGAGAUACGGUCCAGACUCCUACGGGAGGCAGCAGUGGGGAAUAUUGCACAAUGGGCGGAAGCCUGAUGCAGCAACGCCGCGUGCGGGAUGACGGCCUUCGGGUUGUAAACCGCUUUCAGCAGGGGCGAAGCUUGUGGUGACGGUACCUGCAGAAGAAGCACCGGCUAACUACGUG